UCCGGACUGGUGUAAUGGCUAACAUCGCUGUCUCUCAUACCAUUCCAAUCAGGAAUAUAUGGGCAGAGUUUCACAGCAGCUCGGGGUUCGAUUCCCCGGUCCGGAA